rnacentral:rRNA from 1 species
CCUACGGGUUGCAGCAGUAGGGAAUCUUCCGCAAUGGACGAAAGUCUGACGGAGCAACGCCGCGUGAGCGAAGAAGGCCUUCGGGUCGUAAAGCUCUGUUGUUAGGGAAGAACAAGUAACGCAGUAACUGGCGUUACCGUGACGGUACCUAACGAGAAAGCCACGGCUAACUACGUGCCAGCAGCCGCGGUAAUACGUAGGUGGCAAGCGUUGUCCGGAAUUAUUGGGCGUAAAGCGCGCGCAGGCGGUUCCUUAAGUCUGAUGUGAAAGCCCACGGCUCAACCGUGGAGGGUCAUUGGAAACUGGGGGACUUGAGUGCAGAAGAGGAGAGCGGAAUUCCACGUGUAGCGGUGAAAUGCGUAGAGAUGUGGAGGAACACCAGUGGCGAAGGCGGCUCUCUGGUCUGUAACUGACGCUGAGGCGCGAAAGCGUGGGGAGCAAACAGGAUUAGAUACCCUAGUAGUC